rnacentral:rRNA from 1 species
CCUACGGGAGGCAGCAGUGAGGAAUAUUGGUCAAUGGGCGCGAGCCUGAACCAGCCAAGUCGCGUGAGGGAGGACGGCCCUACGGGUUGUAAACCUCUUUUGCCGGGGAGCAACGGGCGCCACGUGUGGCGUCACUGAGAGUACCCGGAGAAAAAGCAUCGGCUAACUCCGUGCCAGCAGCCGCGGUAAUACGGAGGAUGCGAGCGUUAUCCGGUUUUAUUGGGGUAAAAGGGUGCGUAGGCGGAUCGUUAAGUCCGAGGUCAAAUGUGGGGGCUCAACCCCUUCCCGCCAUUGAAUCUGGCGUUCUUGAGUGGAAGAGAAGUAUGCGGAAUGCGUGGUGUAGCGGUGAAAUGCAUAGAUAUCACGCAGAACCCCGAUUGCGAAGGCAGCAUGCCGGCUUCCGACUGACGCUGAAGCACGAAAGCGUGGGGAUCGAACAGGAUUAGAUACCCCAGUAGUC